ACGGGCGUAGCUCAACUGGUAGAGCGACGGUCUCCAAAACCGUAGGCUGGGGGUUCAAGUCCUCCCGCCCGUGC
rnacentral:tRNA from 1 species